ensembl:miRNA
UACAAUCCAAUGAGGAUUCUAAUUUCUUCACAUCUUUGGUAAUAAGUUUUGGCAAAGAUGUGGAAAAACUGGAAUCCUCAUUCGAUUGGUUAUAACCA